GUUGGAUACCAGCGGAAAACACCGGCAAGGAUAGAGCAACCACGCCUCAUAAUAAAGAUGUACUGUCCCUUCUGUGGACACCUCUUGGCAGACAGUCCUGCCUUUUGUAGUCUAUGUGGUAAAAACAUAAAGUUUUUAAAGGACAUCACCAGCACUGUGUCGAGAAAUCCUGCCCUUGGUGAAGAGGCAGCAGCUCUUCCAUCUACCAGUUCCAGCAUCCUGACUGGCACAACUAUACAGUCUACACAGGCUGGGAAAUCAUUAGUGGAGUCAUUUAGAAAAUUUAGGGAUGUUAAAGAAAGGGAGAGAAAGGCCUUUUUUUCAAAGAAACACCAGGAACAGAAGGAACAUAAACCAGUGAAGAUACAGAUUGGCAUCAUGACAAGGACCAGUGAUGGUAUA